UUAAAUGCGUUGAAGAGGGAAAGUAAAUAUUAUAAGUUACUACAGAGAGAGGUUAGUUUGCUGAGAUAACCUGUAAUGAGUAUUAUUGAAGUGCCCCUUGGAGCUUAAGUGCCGAAUUAAGUAGGUGUUUAUGGGAACUCCCAUUAUAGAGUUAGGGUAUGAAUGUACCUAAAUAGAGAUGGAUAUUAUAUAUCUAAUCAGAGUGGAACCGUGGAAGUAUAGUCUUCUGCCUCUGUA
rnacentral:ncRNA from 1 species